rnacentral:rRNA from 4 species
ACGGGUGAGUAAUAUAUCGGAACGUGCCCAGUUGUGGGGGAUAGCCCGGCGAAAGCCGGAUUAAUACCGCAUACGACCUGAGGGUGAAAGCGGGGGAUCGCAAGACCUCGCGCAAUUGGAGCGGCCGAUAUCAGAUUAGCUAGUUGGUGGGGUAAAGGCCUACCAAGGCGACGAUCUGUAGCUGGUCUGAGAGGACGACCAGCCACACUGGGACUGAGACACGGCCCAGACUCCUACGGGAGGCAGCAGUGGGGAAUUUUGGACAAUGGGCGCAAGCCUGAUCCAGCCAUGCCGCGUGCGGGAAGAAGGCCUUCGGGUUGUAAACCGCUUUUGUCAGGGAAGAAACGGUCUGAUCUAAUAAAUUGGACUAAUGACGGUACCUGAAGAAUAAGCACCGGCUAACUACGUGCCAGCAGCCGCGGUAAUACGUAGGGUGCAAGCGUUAAUCGGAAUUACUGGGCGUAAAGCGUGCGCAGGCGGCUAUGCAAGACAGAUGUGAAAUCCCCGGGCUCAACCUGGGAACUGCAUUUGUGACUGCAUGGCUAGAGUACGGUAGAGGGGGAUGGAAUUCCGCGUGUAGCAGU